GAGUGGACUCCUACGGGAGGCAGCAGUGAGGAAUAUUGGUCAAUGGGCGAGAGCCUGAACCAGCCAAGUAGCGUGCAGGAUGACGGCCCUCUGGGUUGUAAACUGCUUUUAGUUGGGAACAAAAAAGGCGACGUGUCGCCUCUGGAGUGUACCAUCAGAAAAAGGACCGGCUAAUUCCGUGCCAGCAGCCGCGGUAAUACGGAAGGUCCAGGCGUUAUCCGGAUUUAUUGGGUUUAAAGGGAGCGUAGGCGGACGAUUAAGUCAGCUGUGAAAGUUUGCGGCUCAACCGUAAAAUUGCAGUUGAAACUGGUUGUCUUGAGUGCACGCAGGGAUGUUGGAAUUCAUGGUGUAGCGGUGAAAUGCUUAGAUAUCAUGAAGAACUCCGAUCGCGAAGGCAUAUGUCCGGAGUGCAACUGACGCUGAGGCUCGAAAGUGCGGGUAUCGAACAGGAUUAGAUACCCUUGUAGUCCUAUC
rnacentral:rRNA from 1 species